GACGUAGGGGGCCAGCGUUGUUCGGAAUUACUGGUGUAAAGGGUUCGUAGGCGGUGCGGCAAGUUGGGAGUGAAAUCUCUGGGCUUAACCCAGAGGCUGCUUCCAAAACUGCUGUGCUUGAGUGUGGGAGAGGCGCGUGGAAUUGCAGGUGUAGCGGUGAAAUGCGUAGAUAUCUGCAGGAACACCCGUGGCGAAAGCGGCGCGCUGGACCACUACUGACGCUGAGGAACGAAGCUAGGGAGCAACAGG
rnacentral:rRNA from 1 species